CUGACUUCUCCUUCUCUCUCCUCUCUCCUCAGGGAUCCGGUGUGAUUAAAGCUGGUUUUGCUGGUGAUCAGAUUCCCAAAUACUGCUUUCCAAACUAUGUGGGCAGACCCAAACACGUUCGCGUCAUGGCCGGAGCCCUUGAAGGUGACAUCUUCAUUGGCCCCAAGGCCGAGGAACACCGAGGGCUGCUCUCCAUCCGCUACCCCAUGGAGCAUGGCAUCGUCAAGGAUUGGAACGACAUGGAGCGCAUCUGGCAGUAUGUCUAUUCCAAGGACCAGCUGCAGACUUUCUCAGAGGAGGUGAGGGUCCCGUGAGCAGGGCGUGCGGAGCUGUCAGAGCCACAGCCCCAGAGAUGAUCACUGCUGGGAGUGUUGGAGUCUUACUGGGGCACCAGGCCCCGUGCUCUUCAGACAGGCCUACCCUUAAUCUGCACGCCAGUCCUACGACAAACAGGGAGUAUUAUCUCCAUUUUACAAACAAAGGAACAGAAAGAAGUUCAGUGAAGCCAAGUAGUCUUUCCAGGAUCACCUAGGGAAUAAAGUGGGAGAGCUGGGACUCAAACCCAUGUUUUUCAGACUUCAGAGCUUAUACUCUAACUUCUAAGGAAGUAGCUAGCAAUGCAGAAAAACAAAGGAAGCUGAAUACUAGACAUAUCAGAAUUUCCGGGGGGGGAGAGUUGUUCAUUUUUCAAAAAUACCUUCAAAAUAUUUAAAUUUAAUUUUGAAAAAAAGA